rnacentral:lncRNA from 1 species
CUCUUGUUAUGUCUUCUGGCUCUCUGGCUGCUCCAAGGAAGGAUAGAGGCCUCUAGUGCUGGUCUGUCUACUGAAAUGGUGCCUGGCUGAAGACUGGGAGGGAGCAGGGCAUGUCUGUGGGGUUUGCCUUUCAUGGAGCCUUGAAUGACCCGAGAGAGACUGGAUGUGGCUCUCUCUUGGGCUCCAAGGGGAAAUUUGAGAUAUGUCCCCCUCUGCUUUCUCCUUUUACAACUCCUCACUUUUUUAAAAUAACCUUUUUUCUUUACUGCUCUAUUCACAACGCUUGUCUGUCAUCAAGCUGCUGUAGCAACAAAGACCCUGGCUACUUUCCUCUGAUGCUCCUACCUAAACCUUGUAAUUGUCGUCUUACCAGACAAGUUUAGAUCUAGCUACUCUGUCUAAUACUGUCUGGUAAUGCCGUCCAUUACAAGGUGUCUCAUCGCUCUUUCUCUGUCAGUCUCUUGGACAAUCUGUACAAAUGAACUGGUAUUGGGUCAUGUGAUGUUUUUUCACCCCUCAAUGAUUUAAUGGCUUAGAAUGUUUAAAUGCAGGUCCAUUUUUUGUUGUUGAAUUAUGUAUUUGUAUGUAAAAUGUCUUGAACAGAUAUUUGCUAACAGUAUUUUGUUGAUUAUGUUAAUAAAGGUCAUCAACGUUC